rnacentral:rRNA from 1 species
GAUGAACGUUGGCGGCGUGCCUAAUACAUGCAAGUCGAGCGAACAGACGAGGAGCUUGCUCCUCUGACGUUAGCGGCGGACGGGUGAGUAACACGUGGAUAACCUACCUAUAAGACUGGGAUAACUUCGGGAAACCGGAGCUAAUACCGGAUAAUAUAUUGAACCGCAUGGUUCAAUAGUGAAAGACGGUUUUGCUGUCACUUAUAGAUGGAUCCGCGCCGCAUUAGCUAGUUGGUAAGGUAACGGCUUACCAAGGCAACGAUGCGUAGCCGACCUGAGAGGGUGAUCGGCCACACUGGAACUGAGACACGGUCCAGACUCCUACGGGAGGCAGCAGUAGGGAAUCUUCCGCAAUGGGCGAAAGCCUGACGGAGCAACGCCGCGUGAGUGAUGAAGGUCUUCGGAUCGUAAAACUCUGUUAUUAGGGAAGAACAAAUGUGUAAGUAACUAUGCACGUCUUGACGGUACUUAAUCAGAAAGCCACGGCUAACUACGUG